rnacentral:pre_miRNA from 1 species
CCUCACUCAACCUGGCUGUGGUGUGGGGUUUACCCACUCCAUCACAACCUCCUUGAGUGAGUGA